AGGACCCUACCAAGGUUGAUAGGAGUGGUGCUUACAUUGUGAGACAGGCUGCUAAGAGCAUUGUGGCAAGUGGACUUGCCAGAAGGUGCAUUGUGCAAGUGUCUUAUGCCAUUGGUGUGCCUGAGCCUUUGUCUGUGUUUGUUGACACCUAUGGCACUGGAAAGAUCCCUGACAAGGAGAUCCUUAACAUUGUGAAGGAGAACUUUGAUUUCAGGCCUGGUAUGAUCUCCAUCAACCUUGAUCUCAAGAGGGGUGGAAAUAACAGGUUUUUGAAGACUGCUGCAUAUGGACACUUUGGAAGAGAGGACCCUGACUUCACAUGGGAAGUGAUCAAGCCACUCAAGUGGGAGGAGGCCUAAGGCCAUUCAUUCCUCACCGCUGUGUGCUGGGAGUUUUUUGAGCUUUGCCCUUAUCAUAUCUAUAAUUUGUUUCAUUUAUUUUACUUAAUUCGUGUGUGCUUCUCACUUUCUCUUCCUCCUCUCCAUUCUAUUUUGUUUCUUCUAUCCUCAUAUGUAAUUUUUUUACAUGAUCAAUUAAACGUGAUACAAAAUUAUUCUUAAUUAGCACGUGUCCUUGUUUCUAGUCCCUUUACUUUUGAAUGUCUAUGUCUACACAUACAUAUAGGACGUUUUACUUUUAUAUGUGUGUCAGCUUGGUUGGAAUUCUGUGGUAUCCGUUUAUCAGUUAGUUCAGGUGCACACAAAUGCGACAAUUAGUUGGUAAAACUGCAAGAGAUUUUGCAAAUAUCAUACAAAUAAUAACAAUAAAUAGUUUGUCGUUUUCAUGCUGCUGGUUUGAUCUUCGCAGUUCACACUGAUCAAACUAAACAACGGUGUUUGGUAAUAUUCAACCUUCUCUCUUUCAAACCUUACUACUAACCUCGUGCGUUGGGUAACAUUAGGCUUCCAACUUAUCUGUUUUCUUUGCCAUAACUUGUUGCCAAAGAGUGUUUGUUCAUAAUAAGUGUUGGAGAUAUAAGAGUGUUGGAAAAGUUUAUUUGCCAUAACUUGUUGCCAUAAAGAGUUGAAGUAACCUCUUGAUAGGAAAAUGGCUCAAGACAAGCUGUGAAUAGAAGUCAGAAAACAAGCAAAUGAAGUAGAGUAAGUGGAAUAAACAAAGUCCAAUAGUUUAGUGAACUUAUAAUCAUGUUGAGAAUGAGAAGGAUCCACCCUCACAAAAAAGGUUAUUGCCUAAUUAAUAGUAGGGAUUGAAGAAGUAUCAAUAAUCAAUAAGAGGGACAUUUGGAUUGACACAAACUAUUAGUAUAAAAAAAAAAUGUAAAACUAAAUGGACAACAAUCUAAGAAAGCGAGUAUGUGUUGUACUCGGAAAACAUAACAUAAUGUGAUUUUGAUUGUGGAAACUGAAAACAAUAACAUUUAAGUUUUAUUUAUCUCUUUGCCUAACAAUUUUUUUAAUUACUUUUUUUAUAGUUUUUAUGAUGAAGAUAAUUAAUAUUUUUUACAAAUAUUAUAUUUUCCUUUUUACCAUCUUUGAAGAUAAUUGCUUUUUUUUCCAAUUUAGACAAAUAUUUGAGUAUCAAUGAUAUUCCUUUUUAAUCCAUUAUUGCAAUUUAAAAGACCAUCAAUGAUUACAUUUUCAAUCAAAUGACUUUAUUAGUCUUCACUUUACAUCGAUUUAAAUCAAACUAAUAAUUUUGUAUGGACUAAAUCUCUGAACAUUUUUAUAUUUACAACAUAUUUUAACAUUUAUUAAAUAAUUAGUAUUUAAUACUAUUAGUAGAAUAAUGGGAGUAGCAGGAGGGAGGCACUGAGAGAAUAGAGAUGGCAUGGAAGUAAGCAAUCAAGUCAAAAUCAGAGUUGGCCAACCCCAAAGGCUGUAGUAGGUAAGCAUGGCCCAUUUUAGUUUUUACAUUCAUCUCUCAUUUUCACCUCAACGGUUCAGAUUCAAUCUGACUCCCCGAUCUCAGCCGUGGAUUCAAAUGCCACCUCAGGCACAUGCAAUUCCAAAUGGAUGAACCUAACCCACAAUCUAAUCUUGUUACUUAGGGGCUUUUCCGUCAUUAAAUGACACCACCUACCCCCUUCUCCCUAUAAAUGGCAACUCAAUGCCCCCCUUAGAACUCGCAGCGCUUGAUUUGAGGCCAGGCAAGCCCCACUCAACCACCACACCUCUCCUCGUUCACGCUACCCCUUUCUGCUCUUCUUCUACCUUUCAAGGUACUCUUCUUUCCCUCUGUUGCUGCAACCUUCUCUUUCUUUAAGAUUGCCUCAAUUUCGGAUCUUGCACCUCUGGGUUGCUUUGCUUUGCUUUUUCCUCUACUGGGUUGAUUUCUGUUUCCCUAAACCGGUUUAGACGAAUGUGAACACUACUUCUUUUGUUUAAUUACUCUGGAAUACGUGUUAGGCUUUCAGAUCUAGUUGAAAUCGUAUUGCACUUUUAGGGGGAGUUUGGAUUUCUAAUAAGAAAUUGACCUUUUGCUGAGAAUUGGUUCGGUGAUUAGAGGGUUUCCGUAAAUUUUUGAAGUUUUACAUGCUUGUAUCUGUUUAUUUUUGUUUCUCACAUCUAUUAUUGUUAGGUGAAGGAAAUUAUGUAUUGAGAGUCUGUCUGAUACUAAAUAUAAACACCUCAAUAGGGGCUCUAACACUGAUUUUAUCAUUUGCUGCUUGUGUGUAUGGUUAAAGAAAGGCAAUUGUGUUUUAAUUUUCUGCAAGCUUUCGUUUGCUGAAUUUUAUGCAUAUAUUUUCCUCCCUUUUGUGAACUUCCUUUUUGUAGUUCUAAUUCCAUUUUUGGUGUCUGCAGUUUUAAAAGUAUAAAGAUGGCAGAGACAUUCCUAUUUACCUCAGAGUCGGUGAACGAGGGACACCCUGACAAGCUCUGCGACCAAAUCUCCGAUGCUGUCCUCGACGCUUGCCUCGAGCAGGACCCAGACAGCAAAGUUGCCUGCGAAACAUGCACCAAAACCAACUUGGUCAUGGUCUUCGGAGAAAUCACGACCAAGGCCAACGUUGACUACGAGAAGAUAGUGCGUGACACCUGCAGGAACAUCGGCUUCGUCUCAAAUGAUGUGGGACUGGAUGCCGACAACUGCAAGGUCCUCGUCAACAUUGAGCAGCAGAGCCCUGAUAUUGCUCAGGGUGUACACGGCCACCUUACCAAAAAACCUGAAGAAAUUGGUGCUGGUGACCAGGGUCACAUGUUUGGCUAUGCCACUGAUGAAACCCCUGAAUUGAUGCCAUUGAGCCAUGUUCUUGCAACAAAACUCGGUGCUCGUCUCACCGAGGUUCGCAAGAACGGUACCUGCCCUUGGCUGAGGCCUGAUGGGAAGACCCAAGUGACCGUUGAGUAUUACAAUGACAAUGGUGCCAGGGUUCCUAUUCGUGUACACACCGUGCUAAUCUCCACCCAACACGACGAGACUGUCACCAAUGACGAAAUUGCUGCUGACCUCAAAGAGCAUGUGAUCAAGCCUGUGAUCCCAGAGAAGUACCUUGAUGAGAAGACCAUUUUCCACUUGAACCCUUCAGGCCGUUUUGUCAUUGGUGGCCCUCAUGGCGAUGCUGGUCUCACCGGCCGCAAGAUCAUUAUCGAUACUUAUGGAGGAUGGGGUGCUCAUGGUGGUGGUGCUUUCUCCGGGAAGGACCCUACCAAGGUUGAUAGGAGUGGUGCUUACAUUGUGAGACAGGCUGCUAAGAGCAUUGUGGCAAGUGGACUUGCCAGAAGGUGCAUUGUGCAAGUGUCUUAUGCCAUUGGUGUGCCUGAGCCUUUGUCUGUGUUUGUUGACACCUAUGGCACUGGGAAGAUCCAUGAUAAGGAGAUUCUCAACAUUGUGAAGGAAAACUUUGAUUUCAGGCCUGGUAUGAUCUCCAUCAACCUUGAUCUCAAGAGGGGUGGAAAUAACAGGUUUUUGAAGACUGCUGCCUAUGGACACUUUGGAAGAGAAGACCCUGACUUCACAUGGGAAGUGGUCAAACCCCUCAAGUGGGAGAAGGCCUAAGUAAUUCAUUCCACUGCUCUAUGCUGGAAGUUUUUUGAGCGUUGCCCUUAUAAUAUGUCUAAUAUCCAUAACUUUCCACGUCUCUUACUCUGUGUGUUUCUCUCCUCUUCCUCCUAUUUUGUUAUUUGUAUGU
rnacentral:lncRNA from 1 species